UCCCAGGAUGAUUUUGCUGAAGGUGGGAAUGGAGUGAACUGCGCAGGAGGACAGUUCUGGAUGCCGACAAUCAGAUUGCUGAUCCUUGAAGCAUGCACAUGCAGCUGGCUUUUGCUUUCCCAGCUGAUCCUGCUGAAACUAGGGAAAAGCAGUGCUGGGUUAACAGUUGGACUCGAAGAUCUUCGAGGUCUUUUCCAACCUGAAGGAUUCUGGGAAUCUUUUGAGCUGAGGAGAGCGCCAGGAUCUGUUUUAACCCCCGCGGGCUGAUGUAGCCCUGGCUGUGGGGGGGGGAUGUGACACCCGUGUUCCAGGUGCCACAAGGAACUCCUGAUGCUGCCUUUCCCUGCCCUUCCCAAGCCUGUGGUGGCAGCACGUUUCCUGGGAUGCGAGGGAAUUUAUUUUGGAGGCGGAGAGGAGAGGAAAACGGACUUGUCAGGAAACUUGGCUGGAGUUGUUUGAGCGAGGCCGACUGGAAAACAGCUGUGCGUGCACUGAACAGAGACUGCACCCUGCACUGCCAGGGUGGGCUGGCAGGAAAGUCCUUUUGCUCCGUUUUUUUUUUUUUAAGAAAUAGAAAUACAAGACCUGAUUGGCAGCCUGGGAGGAGAAACCUGGGGCACCUGAGGGCCUGGACUGACAGGAGCAUCCCAAAACACUCCUCAGUCCCUUGAGGUCUCUGUUACCCCAAAAAGUGCCAGUCCUCGUGCAGCUGGUUCAGAACAAAACUGCAGAGCAGGUGUUGGAAGGGUCAGGUGAGUAGGUCAGAAGUGAGCUGCACUUAAAAACCCCUCCCCUUUGUUAGGGGUGUAUAAAUAAAGUGAUGUAAACCCAAACUGCCCGGCCACGCCGAGACCUUCGCUUUGCGAAGCCUUUGCCUUACUUUUGAUGUUAGAUGAACAUCUAGUGAGCUUAAUUAAAGUUUAAUUAGUGUAAGUAGGGUAAAUGUGGUAGGUCAGCAGGCACAGCAGAUGCUAAAAUACUGUCGGCAAUAAUCAACCUGACCAAAAAGAAAAAAAAAAAAAGGGAAAAAUUCCCUUGUUAAAAAAUAAAUGCCUCUAAGUGACUGGUUCAGACAAGUCAUCUCUCAGGGGUGGUUUUUUACUUUCUUUCCCCAGGCAAUACUGACCAAUUGAGAGCAAAUCCUGUUCCUUCACAUCGGUGAAAAAAGGAAAAAUCAGUUUUUGUCCCUCACUGUGCUCUGGAAUUUUGCCCCAAAUGCUUUUCUGGAGUCUGGGCAUAUGCCAUGGGGAGAUGUCUCACUGCUUUCUGCUCUUCUUUUCUCUCCAGUCGAGAGCCACACGGUGAGGGCUGUGGUUCCACAGCCCAGCCGAGUUUAUUAAGGAUCUGAAAGCCAUUUAUUAAGGGCUUUCAGUGAAAUUCAGCACUGCAUCACCAGCCUGGCUGCCUGUUGUUGCUUAGGAUGUCCUUCGCAGCUAUGGGUGAUGUUUCCUUGACUUUGAAAUGAAAUUUGGAUGUGACUUGGGUAUUUUGGCAUGCAGGUAUCUGUGUUUAUCUGUGGUGGUCUCUGUUUUUUGUCCUGCUGGGUGCUGGUGGCAGCACAGCCUGAGCCAUCGAGUUUUGUGGAUGAACCCUUGACCUGUUCUUGGAUGUGCUCUUGGAUCAGGAAUCCCACUCUGGCCACGAGGUUCUGGUAAGCCACAGCAUUUUGCAGUUGGCUCCAGCAAAGAUUCAGCUCGUUUCUUAUUUUUAUCUGUCUCGAUUGGAUCAUCCCUAAAAAUAAUCUGCAAUGCAAGAUACCGCAGUGCUGAAUUCCCCAGCUGAGCAAGGGGAACAUGUCGAGAGGCUUUCUUGGAUCAAAGGCCUCGGAGAGGAGCCAGAAGCGAAAGCCAGGCUAAAGUUCAGGAGCAUCCCUCGGAUGCAGAGGGUAGCAGCACACAGAAAGCUGCUGCUCUCGUGAGGCUUUCUUGGGCUUUGGGCUGUGCAGCAGCCAGGCUGCAGGGAAUGUGAAAUGCCUCCUCCCCGGGGAUCCUGUAAUGGCUGGGAAAGCGGAGACGAGCAGGAGGUAUUUAGGGCAAUGGUCUCAGACACAACAGGCUCAGGGUGUGCCCCCAGAAGCCGUGGGUCAGACAUGGGCUAGCAAUUCCAGUGGCCAGCAGAGCCUGCUCUUGGAGCCUGCUGGAGCUUCCGUGUGGAGCCCCCAGCAGCGAGCACUGCAGGCCUGGAAAAACACGCCAGCAAAAUCUGCCAACGAGGGGGAACGUGUGCUCCUGGUUGGUUCGAGAGGUCUCAGAUGGAGGGAAACUUCCCUUCCCAGAAGCACACGAGGAAAGGACGCCUCUCUGGGCUCCAUGGAGGUCCUCUCCAAGUUUAGUGUUCUGUGAUGGCAUGAGAUGGAGGCGUGAGGGGCCCUAAGGCCUUCUAAAGUGUCCUUGAACCCAAGCACAGUAAGCUCCCCUGUCAGCUGGAACUACGGGCAGAUGUCUGCGCUCACACAGCUGUUUCUGGGUGACCCUGCUGGACAAGGGACGCUGGGGAGGCGAUGAGCUGAUGUCUGGGACGCUGCAAGGCCUUGAAAGCAAAAUGCAGCACGGGAGAUGAGGCAGAGCCGCACUAACGCACAGGCUGCUCCUGGAUAAGCAGAGCUGCCUCCCCCCUCUGGGUCAGGGCUGCUGGGACCACCCAGCCCAGGGCUCCUGGAGAGCCACCCCUGCUGUUCUGCUCCGUGGGAGCUCCGCGUGGCCGCAGCAAUGCCUCCGCGGUGCAGGGCCAGGGCAGGACACAGGACACGGGACACGGCCCCUCCGUCAGGGCACUUGGCUCCAUUUCCUGCCCAGGCACCACCCUCUCUUUCCAUUUGGCUGAGGGAAUGUUUAAUUAUUAUUAUUAUUAUUGUUAUUUUUAAAUAGAGCAGUUUCGACAACGUGAACUAACGUGCCCUUGUGGGCACAUGGGCAAGCUGAGGCAUUUCCUGCCAACACAGACUCUUUUAUCACUGCUUAUUGGUGUCACCUGCCUCAAACCCUGACGGGGAGAGUGCUUUAUUUUCUUUUUUGUUUCUUUUUUAAUGAGCUGUUCAGUCCCCUGAUUUCUAGGUUUCCAAGAGACUUAAAGCAAAGCGAGACCUUUUAGGUCAAAUUAAACGUUUUGGGUCAAGAAAACUUUGUUUUUGAAAUCCAGCUAAGGAAUAUGAACUUUCAGUUUAGGAUUAGCCUAAACCAAUUUUUUGCAGGUGUUUUUUUUCUUCCUGUUUAUUUGUAGAAAUGAAAGGGAAAAGCUCUGCCCUGGAGUAGUGCAGCUCCCUUUCCUGGUGUUCCACCCGGGAUGAGCGUCCUGAGAAGGGAACGGAGCUGGGCAAGGCUCUGGAGCUCAAGGCACAGGACAAGAAGGAAUGGCUAGUGAGGUUUAGAGCAGAAAUUGGGAAUAAUCUCCCCACUGGAAGGUCAGUCAGGCAUUGGACCAGGCUGCCCAGGGCAAUGAUGGAGGCAUUUCCCUGGGAACAUUCAAAAGGCGUGUGGAUGUGGUGCUCAGGGGAAUGGUUUAGUGGUGUUGGAUUCAUGGAUGGACUUGGUGAUUUUGGAGGUCUUUCCCAACCUCAACGAUUCUGUGAUUCUUUUGGUUAAAAGGAAAUGGAAACACAAAUAAAAAAGGAUUAACCUGCUGUUUGCAAUGCUGGGCGUGCUCUGGUUUGGGGACAGCUUUCCCCUCCCCUCCCCAGAUGAAAACUCGAAUCCAUGCUUGCUGUAUUUUAGUUUUGCUCCAUUUUUACCCUAAAAAAAGUGUGUUAAUAAGCAUUUCUUUGCAGCUAGAGAGCCACUUCCAGAUGUGUUUAUCCCGAGUGUCCUCGUCCUGUGUGCCAUUUGGUCAUGCUGAGCUCGAGAGGGAGCUUGUCCUGGACCCCGCUCAGAGGAUGUUGCUGCAGGAGCCACUGCUCUGAGCAAAGCGCUGUGGAAACAUCCAGGAGACGUCUGUUCUCACCCUGAUCCCUGAAAUGUGUCCCUCAUAAACACAGCCAAAUGAUUCGGGUGCUUUGUCUGCGCAGAGCGGGGGGAGCUGCUGUGGGCACUUUGAGAGCUGGAGUGUCUUGUUUGGCAUGUCAGGUCUCAGCACUGGAGUGCACAAAGAGAGGGCUUUGCAUCUCGUCAUUUAUAAUUCAGCCCAAGAAAUGCACUAAUACUCUUAUCAGAAUGGGGAACGUCGCUCAAAGCACAAAAGCACGAGUCACCCAGGAACAGGCAGACAUUGAGGGCUGCUGCUCUCCCUGCCUCUGGAGUAACAGCCAAGAAUCAGGGAGAUUUUCUCCUAAACAAAUGUUUCGCUGUUGUGUGUGUGAAUAAAUACAAUUUCUCUCUCUCUCUCUUUUUUUUUUUAAGCAGGCCAAGGAAGGAAAGGAAAAGCUGAAGUGCCUGAGGUGCAGGGAAGCAUUUUGCUCUAUUCCCUCACUUUGCUAAGUGCCAGCUGUGUUUGCCCACUGCAGAGUAAGAGCAGGAGGGCUGAGGAUUCGGGAUGGGAGGAAUUUUGUCACAGCUGUCCCUGGUCAUGGGACCUCUGGUUCUGCUGGAGGUUUGGUGGCCAGGCAGUGAAAUCAGGGGGUUCAGGGAGAUAAGCCCACCCCAUCCAGGUGGGAAGGGGCUAGGGGCAACCCAGUCUAGUUGGAACCAGGUGAUCUUUAGGGUCCCUUCCAAUCCAUGGCAUUCAGUGUUCCUGUGGCAGGGAAGGAGGUGGUGGAGAAGCUUCUCUGUGAGCAGCACAGGAUGGUUUUGAGUGCCCCCUAAAGCGCUUCAGCUCAGAGUGAGAAAGAAAAAAGUCCCACUUGGGAAUGCUCAUGCAUUUGCCAGGGUUGCUGUGGCCACAGUAUGUCCUGGGGAGCAUGGCACCCGCCCACGGCUCAUUUAACAAGCCCUGGGUGGCAAAGAAAGCAGGAACUGCCCUUCAAAACCCCAUGAAAAGACCUUCUCCUGCAGUCUCCCGGUGCUGAUGAAGCCCAGCUUCACGGGCCACAGGGGAAGCCAUAAAGCUGCUGUCGUGAUCCCGGUGCUGGAGCCAAAGGCAGCUGGAAGGCUGUGGAGAGGCUCUCAGUGACUCCAGUGUGCUGUGAGCACCACUGGACACAGUCCCUCUGGAGGGGCUGCCAGACCACUGAGUGCUCCAUCCCUGCCCUCCAGACACCCUCUUCCUGGAGGAAAGUCGGCAACUUUGGGUUUAUUCCAUUUUCUCACCCGUGCCAAAGCCUCUUUAAUAUCAGGAUUUGCUCCGUGGCAAUUCCAGCGGGGGAAGAAAAGUUUGCUUCCAUUCCCCAGCGCUCGGUGGAAGCAGCUUCCGUCAGCGCUGCCUGUGCUCUCGGCGGUGCUGGAUAUGGCAGGUCUAUUUUUAGAAGCCAGGGUUGCCAUGGCAACCCAGUGUAUUUUUUUUCCCCCUGUUAAAUAUAGCAGCUGUUGCAGGGAACUCUUGUCCUCCUGGAUGUAAAGGCUGUGUUUUUGCCCUCUGACAGAGCUCAGGGUAUUAGAGGCAGACGAGAAAGGAUGAUUAAAUAAGCGGAAGCCCAGAAGAAACCGUGGAUCUGUAAUUACACGGAGGGGUUUGGGAUGCAGCCGUGCGUGUCUGCAGCUCCCGUGCUAAAAAUGGUGUGGGGACAGGGAUAGGGGAGCUUUUCCAUGUGGGGCUCCAUGAAACCACCCAGCCACCCUCUCUCAGCUGCAGGACUGUGUUGCAUCCCAAAGCAGUUACAUGCCCAAGCUUUGGGGUUCAGUGGGAAGCAAACUGACUCUGUUUAUUUUUUUUUAUUUUUAUAUUUUUUUUAACUUACUGGAUCCCUGUAAGAUGCAAACAUGUCCCAUCAAAGGGCUGGUUUCCAUCUCCUGGCAGGAGGGAGAAGGAGAGGGGUGGGGAGCACAACUGCUCAGGCCAAGGGCAGUCUGUCCGCUGGGAGAUGGAGGUCUUUUGUUUAAUUAACUAGUCCUUGCCUCAUUAAAUGAAGAAGGAAACCAGAGAACAGCACGACACGAGCGGGGCUUAGGAUCGCUGAAAGUUUCCUUAAAAAGUGGAUGCACCAACAAACAAACACAGAACCAAAUUUAAACCAGCUUGAGUUUAAAGUAUCUGCGGAGGUCACUGUGACCAAGGCUUUGAAUGGGAAUAACACAUCUCUGGGAGCCUUAUCUGCUCCCUGAGCUAUCGUGAGAGGCAUCUACUGCUGGGGAUGUUAUUGCUUUUCUGACUUUCAUAGCAGGAGCAGCGCUUCAGCAAGCAGAAAGCUGCAGGGGAAGAGCCGCCUCUGUGGCCGUCGGGGGCUGGAGCUCACCCCAGAACUGCUCCCUGCCUGUGUCCCGGCCCCUCAGCAGCCCUGCAGGGUGCUUUGGAGGGAUGGGGCAUUCCCCAGCGCUCCAGCAUCCUCUGGCCCAGGGCAUAAAUACGGGGCUCGUCCCUCGGGAAGCGCUGCCUGUCCUGAAGGAAGGCAAGGCUGCCACACCACAUUUGAAGAUUUCCUUGCCUCCCUCAGGGAGUGGGUUGUCAGGGGCUUCUGGCCCAGAAAAUGGAGCUUGCAGCUGGGAGGGAGGUUCAGGGCAAUCAUUUCAGAUGCUGCUUUGGUUUAAAUCCAGCACAGGGUGGAGGGAGGACGGUGGAGUGGGCACAGCUCCAAAAAUACAUGUUUGUACAUGGAAUGGUUUGGGUUGGAAGGGCCUUUAAAGACCAUCCAGUCCCACCCCCUG